rnacentral:rRNA from 1 species
UACGUAGGGGGCGAGCGUUGUCCGGAUUUAUUGGGCGUAAAGAGCGUGUAGGCGGUUUGGUAGGUCCGUUGUGAAAACUCGAGGCUCAACCUCGAGACGCCGAUGGAAACCAUCAGACUAGAGUCCGGAAGAGGAGAGUGGAAUUCCUGGUGUAGCGGUGAAAUGCGCAGAUAUCAGGAAGAACACCCGUGGCUAAGGCGGCUCUCUAGUACGGUACUGACGCUGAGACGCGAAAGCGUGGGGAGCGAACAGG